UUGCUCACUUUGGUAGCACAUAUACUAAAAUUGAAAUGAUACAGAGAAGAUUAGCAUGGCCUCUGUGCAAGGAUGACAUGUAAAUUUGUGAAGCAUUUCAUAUUUUU
rnacentral:snRNA from 1 species